UUUGUUUAUUUAUAUAAGGUUUAACCUGCCCAAUGAUUUUUUUUGAAUGGCUGCGGUAUUUUAACUGUACUAAGGUAGCAUAAUCAUUUGUCUUUUAAUUGAAGGCUGGUAUGAAUGGUUGGACGAAGUAAAUUCUUUCUUUACUUUAAUUUAUGAACUUAAUUUUUUAGUUAAAAAGCUUAAAUUCUUUUGUUAGACGAGAAGACCCUAUAGAUCUUUAUAUUUUAAUAUAUUAAUUAAUUUGGAUUAUGAUUUAUUUUGAUCUAUUAAUGUAUUUGAUUGGGGUGAUUUUGGAAUUUUAUGAACUUCUAAUUUUUAAUUUCAUUGAUUUAUGUUUAUUUGAUCCUUUAUUAUUGAUUAAAAGUUUAAGUUACCUUAGGGAUAACAGCGUAAUUUUUUCGGAGAGUUCAUAUCGAUGAAAAAGUUUGCGACCUCGAGUUGGAUUAAAAUAGGUGGUUGGUGUAGUAAUUAAUUUACCAGGUCUGUUC
rnacentral:rRNA from 1 species